rnacentral:rRNA from 1 species
CCCGUAACUUCGGAAGAAGGGGUGCCCACCUCAGACGUGGGUCGCAGUGAAGAGAUCCAGGCGACUGUUUACCAAAAACACAUGA